CUUUGACAAGCUGGGCUAUAGCAGGAACCUUAGAAUACUUCCCCUUCUUGAUAGUCUCUUCCUUCAGAUAUCCACAUGGUUCUCUGCCUCCUAUUGACUUCAA